rnacentral:ncRNA from 1 species
AAGAGCCGUAUGACGCGAGAGUGUCACGUACGGUUCUGUGGGAGCGUAGGGGGGAGGUUCCCCCGCGCCACCCGAC